GUUAGUACAACUUUGAACAUCGCCCUUAUUUUUGAAGAUAGGUACUAAUAUACUUCUCCUCAAAAAUGGAUCAACACAUGCAUGAAAAAAAAAUUCUGCUUCUUGCCCCAGCUGUUACAUUGCCACUGCUUUACCCACUUCAGGUCUCUAUCUCCAGAUAUGGAAUACCUGCUUUUCCUAUGAUUAGUAAAAUUCAUCCAUCUAUGCCUGCCCAAACUAUGUUUGACAUCAUACUGACAAGUCUCUGUUCUUUGCCUGCAACACACUGGGGUAUAUAUCCGCUCGGGCUUAUUUGGAGGCACUACAGAUGCAUGUAUUUUAGUGGUGCCCUUUGUGUUGUUUCCUCCUGUUGAGAUUCGGCAAGCACUUCCUUCUUGGCUAAAUCAUCUUGCUCUCCCCCCCACUGUGGUUGGACUGACAACCUUUUAGGAAGAUAAACAAAUAUCGUGCUCUAUAUGUAUUCCUUUUACAUUUCCUUGCUGCAGUGGAGCUGAUCUAUGCGGACGGAAGCGUAGAUUUCUGAUGCUUCACCUACUCAGUCAGCAUUUGCCAAUAUGUAUUUCCUUGCUGCAGCAACACGUACUCAUCAACCAGGUGCUUAAUUAGACGUAAACUACAUCUCCAUGAAUCAAGCCAAGUAGUACUUUCUUUUUAAUAUUCACAGACAUUGCUCACUGUCCUUGCUCCUUUGUUAAGAGAUAUGGACCUUUGGUGUAUAGGUUCCUGCUAAUAUUGAGAGGAGAGAUCCAAAUGUUUCUUCA